rnacentral:piRNA from 1 species
UACGUGUUUGCCUGGACAUUGCAGGCGUGAC